AUUGAACGCUGGCGGCAGGCCUAACACAUGCAAGUCGAACGAGUGGCGGACGGGUGAGUAAUGUCUGGGAAACUAGCUUAUGGAGGGGGAUAACUACGGGAAACGGUAGCUAAUACCGCGUACCAUCGGAUGUGCCCAGGUGGGAUUAGCUGGUUGGUGGGGUAAAGGCUCACCAAGGCGACGAUCCCUAGCUGGUCUGAGAGGAUGACCAGCCACCCUGGAACUGAGCCACGGUCCAGACUCCUACGUUAGGCAGCUGUGGGGAAUAUUGCACAAUGGGGGCAAGCCUGACGCAGCCAUGCCGCGUGUAUGAAGAAGGCCUUCGGGUUGUAAAGUUCUUUCGGUGGCGAGGCGUUAACCGCAGAAGAAGCACCGGCUAACUCCGUGCCAGCUGCCGCGGUAAUUC
rnacentral:rRNA from 1 species